GUGAGAUACUGUAUCUCAUAUUCGGUGCUACUAUCACACAGGAGGAGAUAAUCGCUCUUCCGUCAUUGGUUUUCAAUAAGAGGUGGGUGAGCAGGAAAAACAAAGAGCGUAGAGUGGCAGGUCGGAGAUUUUCGAGAUGCAAACUUGUGCCUUUGAUGCAAAAUUUCUCAACUUCUGAGGUAGAGAGAACGGCAUGAGGAAUGGACUACAUUCCCAAUCUGGCUAGCAAAUAGUUGACAUAGAAGAAGGAAAUGAGCACAUUAUAUGGUUAAUCUUUCUCAGAUUGCAAUUAAAUUACCAUCUUGGAUGUAGCACGCUGUUGCCAUGGAUACCUUGCAAGAAAUGGAAAGGUUUGAAUGUUGUUUGCAUGAAACAACAUUCUGAAGAGAAAACCCGGUGGAACAGAGAGCGAUUUGUCACGUCUCGUGUGAAAAGCCUUUUAUUUGUUCUACAGGAUCCAGUGGAGAAGGUUUCAUAGUAGUAACCCUGUGAUUUCAGCAUUCUUUUUAGCGUAUAUCCCUAGCUCUUUUGCCUUGCAGUGCCCUUGUUAUAGCACAAAAAAAAAACGCAUAACUACAAUUACCAACUGGUGAAUAGUUACAGUGUACUCAAUAUGAAAAUACUGCUAAGUUCAUCUAUUUAUAUAUAACAAAUUACAAUGUUUAAUUCUGUAUAUUCUGGUUUAAAUAUAUAGCAGGUUUUUCUCUCCUCCCCAUGCAAAUCUUAGAGAUUAUGUUCUUUUUGCAUAUGUUUACAUUAAGUGAUGUGUGGUUGGGAGAAAUGUGCUGAGUUGUCACAGAUGAGAGGAAAGAUCAACAGAGCUCAGAUCCUUCAAAGCAGAGAAGAUGAAAUUCAUUUCGAUUUUCUUCCUGGUAGGAAGUUGUUGCUUGGUUGAAGGUAUGAUAAAAGAGUAUAUUUACUAUCCUGGAGCAACAUAUUGGUAUGAUGCUCAGUGGCAGUGCAGAUUACACCACAGUGAUCUGGCUACCAUCAGCACCGCAGAAGAACAGCAGCGACUUGUAGAGAGUUUUGAUUUCAGCAGUGGGCCAGCUUGGAUUGGACUGUACACAGAAAGUGUAAUCUCAGAGUGGCAGUGGUCUAAUGGAGAGCCAGUUUCUUUCUUACCAUGGUAUCCUGACUAUCCUGAUAACAUUUAUAACAUAACCACUGAUACUUUUGACCAAUAUUAUGACAUUUACAAAACCUGUGCUUUUUUGGAACAAGGACAAUGGGUAGAGGACUUCUGUUGGGAGGGUCAUCCAUACUACUGUUAUAGAUAUUUGAUUUUGGUGAAUGAGAGUAAGACUUGGGAGGAGGCUCUUCAGUACUGCACCACUAAGUACACCGGCUUGGCCUCUCUGCCCAACGCAACACAAGUGCUUCAGGCAAAAACGGAGCUCGCACUGACCCAAACAGAGAGUGUGUGGACCGGCCUGUGCUUCAUGGAUGGAAACUGGUUCUGGCUUAGUGGAGAGCCAACGCAGAGCCUGGAUUUACUUCCAUCAUGUCCAGCUCAUCCUUAUCGCUGCGGAGCUCUCAACAACAACACAAACAUCUGGGAGAACCGAGACUGCAACGAGAAUCUGAAUUUCCUCUGCUACUGGAAUAUUAUGUAGUGAUCUCUGGCUGCACCCCUGCAUUACAUAUGACUUUCCACAAGAAGAGAUCUCCUACAGGAAGAUUACAUGCAUGACACUUUUCUUUUUCUUUUUUUUUUGUUAACUGAUUAAGAUGUAUCAUAUGUUUGGCUUUCCUUAAUCAUAGAUCAUUUAUAUACCAUUGAACCUGAAUGUCAGGC